GUCCCCAGACACAGGGCCAGUGUCGGGCUUGGCCCUGCUGACCCCAAAGUGGACGUCUCUGGGUGGUUGGAUUUUUCUUUUUUUGUGAUCCGGUUCCCGAGAUUGCAUUUCUGGAUUCUGAUCCUCUUCGGGGAAAUCGUGAGGACAACGAGCGAGGGUCGUGACUUGUGGCCGAGGGGGGUCAAAGUUGAGAUGACUUGGAAGGUGGCGAUGGAAGCAAGUAGGAAAAACAAAGGGUUGCUAUGGAACAAGCAGACAGUGUUUGAAUCAAGCGUAGGAGAGAAGCUUUAAAGGGACUCUGAACAGAAACCUGUAUGGUUUGUAUUUGACAGAAGAUUAUUCAAGAUGUUUGAAAUGACAAGUCCGGGCGCAUGUUAGUGGAUCUUUCUUUACUCUACGAGGACAUGCACUCAGUGCUUUGAUGUAUUCUGUUUCUUCUAGCAUUCGGGAGUUUGUAUAUGUUCUGAGCUGCAAACCUGCACAGGCGUGUUGGUGUGCGAGUGGAGGGAUGGUAUGUGGAACGCAGAGCAGCUCCGAGCUGAUUCCUGCGGCGCGUUGACUGAUUCGGUCUUUGAAUGUGACUGAAUUUCGGACUCCUCAAAGCCAAGGGGUCAAGUGCGUCAACAUGCAAAGUCAUGUGUCAGAACGUGCACAUCUUUUUAUGAUGGGGGAAUGGCUGCGCGGUGGCACCACCCAUAAAAGAUCAGACGACCUCCAGCUCCUGUUGGCACAUCACCUGACCCGGCUACCGCUUCAAUGUGCAUCUACUUCAGCUGUUCUUCUCCUUGUUCUCGCUUUCUCUCUGUUUUUUAUUAUUGUAUGGAGCUGGGCCUUCCAGCAGCAACCCACAGGAAGUCAUUCACUUCCUAAUUAUCUGCACAUCAAACAGGGGUCGCCGCGGAGACGCAGACCAUAAAUUCAGCCCCCUCCCCACCGCUGUGGUGCGAUAGCACAGCAACAGCUGCCUCUAAUUGGGGCUGUAGGUUCAAACUGCUAACAUAUGACUUCCCUCCUAUUCACUAAGACACUGUCUGCCUCUGCCAAGGCCACAACACACACGGACCAGGUCACCAGCGCAGAGAGCGAUCGGGUUUCAGAUAAAGAGAGACGGGGAGAGUCGAGAGGCAGAAAGACGCCCCUCGAUGGCACAGGAAACUCGGUGUGGUUUCGGGAUGGGCUCUGAAGUGGUCCAACGUGGCCCGCUCCCACCGCAGAGGCCCUCGGGUCAACAGGAGCUCCCCCAGAUUGACAAAGAGAACGAGAAGGAUGAAGAGUGAGCGAGUGACAGGCUGCGAUAACAAAGGGCGACCACAGUGCGGUUUCGUGACGGCUCUCCGGGUGAAAACCGAUGAGUUGUCAGAUCCAGCUGGGCCAGAUAUUGUAUCGCAACAAUCAAAAACCUUUUUCACACUUGUGUAAGAGUCCAACCAUGCAUUACUGAAACAUGAUCGAGCGCCCCUAUCUGUUUCUCAAUGUUUAAAAAAAACUUGCUUUUAUCUGACAAUUCCUCUAAUGGCAGGUCAGAGGUCAGAGUCACUCACAGAGCCGGUUUCUUCUUCUUCUACACACAUGGAGAAUACAUGGUCGGAUCGAUGUUUGUGUACUAAACCACCGAGGGAUAAUGAGCUCUUUCCAACACAUGACCGAGGCAGAGUCGCCGGGAGAAGAGUCCAUACUCCAAAGGGCUGAAGAGGCUUUAGUACCUGUCACAGCCAUGUAAAUUGGGCCCUCAGCAAGUGAACGAGCCGGCCCAUUGUCUCUAAUGGCCUCUUGUUAGGAAAAGCCGCCUACAGUGUGAAUUUGACUUUGUAUGCUCGCUCCGGGCUACGUGCAUAUGCACUUCCUACCGUCCCUUAAGUUUACUGCGUUUCAGCAGGAAACACAAUUAGCCCAAUCAAAGUGAAAGGAAGGGGGUCGAGGGGAGGAGGAGAGGAGAGGAGUGCGUUUUAUGAACAUGGGUGGUGAAACAGCAGCAUUGUGAUGGCAGGAGGAUAUUAGGUGCUGGGCGGCAGCUUUUUGAUGUAGAGGAGUCUUUAGCGGGCGUCUGACUCUUGUUAAAGUGGGCUGACAUACAAUUAAAGAUAUAUGGCCCGGGACAGCCGUGAGAUUCGGAUACAUUAGCGGAUUAGAUUUUAAAAGGGGCUUGUUUAAAGGAUGGCCAGUAAAUACUAUUCAGCACUAAUGUGUGCUCUCAUGUAUGCGGCGAGCUGGGUAUCGUUUAAAAGUACCAUUCAUAAAAGCGCGUUAAUGGAAGUCUAUUAAAAAGGGAUGUGAGGGAGAUUCAUUAUUGGUCCACAAACUGCUGUGUGUGCAGAUCCUCAUUACGGCAAUAAAGUCAUAUUCCCAGAUGCUA